rnacentral:snRNA from 1 species
AUGGCGCUUAAGCGCGCG